AUACGGAGGGUGCAAGCGUUAAUCGGAAUUACUGGGCGUAAAGCGCGCGUAGGCGGCUUGAUAAGUCGGAUGUGAAAGCCCCGGGCUCAACCUGGGAACUGCAUUCGAAACUGUCAGGCUAGAGUAUGGUAGAGGGUAGUGGAAUUCCAGGUGUAGCGGUGAAAUGCGUAGAUAUCUGGAGGAACAUCAGUGGCGAAGGCGGCUACCUGGACCAAUACUGACGCUGAGGUGCGAAAGCGUGGGGAGCAAACAGGAUUAGAUACCCCAGUAGUCC
rnacentral:rRNA from 1 species